UCGAAGCAGAAAUACUUCGUAAUAUACACCUGUGAACCGUCGUUCUCGGACCGCCGUCCUUGAGCGCUAUACAAACUCUAAUGUUGUCAUGAAUGUCGUUAUUCGUAACAAAGCA
rnacentral:misc_RNA from 1 species